rnacentral:misc_RNA from 1 species
GAUCUUAUUCUCUGGCCACCAGUGGUUAUUAUACAUAACUGCUCUGGAUUGGUAACUGGCCUAGAUGGGCAAAAAGUUACGACUACUGAAGCUGUUGAGAACUUUCUAAGAGGUAAAGGUUUUAGUGGUGGUAGAAUGAAGGUUUGUAUGGGGAAGCCUGGUAAUGGCAGUAUAUUACUGGUGAAGUUCUUGGGCACUAUUCCUGGCAUUCAGGAUGCAGAAAAGCUUCAUAACUACUUCAUGGAAGAAGAGCGUGGAAGGAAAGACUUUAGAGUAAUAACUUCAACCAAAGGAAAAGGCAUUGACAACAGAAAUGUGAAGGGAGGUAAAGCUGAGGAAAUUUCACUCUAUGGUUACAUGGGAAUAGCUGAAGACUUGGAUAAAGUUGAUAUCGACACCAGGAGGAGAAGUUUAAUCAAGAGCAAAAAGGAGAUUCAUGAUUUUGUAGAUGCUCCUGUCAAAUCCGUUGGGAAAGAUUAAGGAUUUUAGUUUUCAUCGCAGCUGGAGAGAACCCCACCAGCCAUCAUCUUUUCAGAACAUAGAAAUUGAAUCACAGAAAGGGGAAAAAGAGAGAAAGUAAUGUAGAUAUAGUAGGAUGAAAGGAAGGUACAAAGAAAAC